GAUGAACGCUAGCGGCAGGCUUAAUACAUGCAAGUCGUGGGGCAGCAUGAGUAGCAAUACUUGAUGGCGACCGGCCAACGGGUGAGGAACACGUACACAACCUUCCUUCAAGCGGGAAUAGCCCAGAGAAAUUUGGAUUAAUACCCCAUAAUAUAUUUGAUAAGGCAUCUUAUUAAUAUUAAAGCUUCGGCACUUGAUGAUGGGUGUGCGGCUGAUUAGAUAGUUGGCGGGUAACGCCCACCAAGUCUACGAUCAGUAGCUGAUGUGAGAGCAUGAUCAGCCACACGGGCACUGAGACACGGGCCCGAUCCUACGGGAGGCAGCAGUAAGGAAUAUUGGAC
rnacentral:rRNA from 1 species